rnacentral:rRNA from 1 species
UAAGGAAUAUUGCUCAAUGGGAGAAAUCCUGAAGCAGCAACGCCGCGUGGAGGAUGAAGGGUCUAUGACUUGUAAACUCCUGUAAAGAAGGAAAAAAUUCCCAUUUGAUGGGAGAUGAUGGUACUUCUGGAGUAAGCCCCGGCUAACUACGUGCCAGCAGCCGCGGUAAUACGUAGGGGGCAAGCGUUGUCCGGAUUUACUGGGUGUAAAGGGUGCUCAGGCGGAUUUGUAAGUCAGAGGUGAAAUCUUACAGCUUAACUGUGAAACUGCCUUUGAUACUGCAAGCCUAGAGUAUGGAAGAGAGUGAUGGAAUAUCUGGUGUAGCAGUGAAAUGCGUAGAUAUCAGAUAGAACACCGAUGCCGAAGGCAGUCACUUGGUCCAUUACUGACGCUAAAGCACGAAAGCGUGGGUAGCAAACA